rnacentral:rRNA from 1 species
UGGGGAAUAUUGCACAAUGGGCGCAAGCCUGAUGCAGCCAUGCCGCGUGUAUGAAGAAGGCCUUCGGGUUGUAAAGUACUUUCAGCGAGGAGGAAGGCGUUGUGGUUAAUAACCGCAACGAUUGACGUUACUCGCAGAAGAAGCACCGGCUAACUCCGUGCCAGCAGCCGCGGUAAUACGGAGGGUGCAAGCGUUAAUCGGAAUUACUGGGCGUAAAGCGCACGCAGGCGGUCUGUCAAGUCGGAUGUGAAAUCCCCGGGCUCAACCUGGGAACUGCAUCCGAAACUGGCAGGCUAGAGUCUUGUAGAGGGUGGUAGAAUUCCAGGUGUAGCGGUGAAAUGCGUAGAGAUCUGGAGGAAUACCGGUGGCGAAGGCGGCCCCCUGGACAAAGACUGACGCUCAGGUGCGAAAGCGUGGGGAGCAAACA